AGGCGAGCGGCACGUCGGCCGCAGCCAGCGGCACAAAGGCAGCCGGCUGCGGGGUUUAUUUUCCUUUGCAUUAAUGAGAGGAAGGAGCCGGGAGGCCCUCCCGCCCCGCGCUGUGGGCAGGUGCCUCACGGCCGCAGCCUGCGGUGAGAUGGGAGCGGGGACAGCCGGGGCACGCGCAUCCCUGGGGGACAGCGGUGCCAUCCCCUGGGCGCCCCGAUUUGAGUGACGCGACCUCGGCCGGUGCCGGCUCAGCUGCCUCCAGGCAGCGGCACCCAGCUGGCACGCAGGUGAGCUCCGUCCAUCCCCGCUUUGGCUCUAAGCGCAAAAGCAGCCUGGGAGAGUGCCGCGUGGCGAACUUCAGCUUCCUGCUGCUCCACGCAAUCAAGCGUCGGCCAUUAAUUACGAGCUUAACAAGCAAGCCUGGGGAGGAACUCUGGAUGGAGGGACGGCAGAGCCGUGCUGUAAACGGAGCAGCACGUCCGUCCCGGUCGGAUACGGCCGCGCACAGGACCGGGUGCCUCCCACCGCCGCCCCUCGCCCUGCCCGGCCCCCAGCAGCCCCCGCUGCCUGCUGGGCUGUGCUGCUCUUGGAAGCGGCCGCGGGGCUGGAGCGCUCGGCGUAAGGUGAUCCUGCGUCAACAAGGCAGCAGAGCCGAACAAAGCCCCUCUGUCUGCGCUGCGGCCGCGCUCCCGUCGGGCGCGCAUCGCCCAGCGGGGUCAGCAGGAAAUUAAUCCCAGCCCGGGGUGAAAGGGUUAAUGAAUGCUGAUUUUACAAACAUCGGCGCUAUCCUUCCCCAAACUAAUAGAGGGGUAAUUAGCUCUUAAUAAAAGGGAGCCCUUGGCAGAGCUGCUGAGCGGUGCGGAGGGACCACGGAAGCCACGAUGCGGCCGAGGGCUGGGGACCCUCCUGCGCCUCAGCGCAACGGAACGGCUCCCCGGGGGCAGAGCCCAGGCUCCCUGGCCCCGAGCCCUUCCCUGCCUUGCUGGGGUGCUCCGGCCGUGCCCCGGCAACCCAGGAGCAUGCGUGCAGUGCCGGCUGUGCGCACAGCAAAUCCCAGCGUGGUCGGUGUGAAUGGGAGAGAAAGGGCCUUUCAGGGAGUGCAGCCAUGCACGCUGCUCCUCCGGCGCGGGCAGGGAGGAGGCUGCUGGCUGUGCCACUCUGCACCGUAACUGCAUGCACGGGGACAUCGCAUUAGCACGGGGGGUGCAAAAGCUGGGAGAUGGAGGUCUGUGAGUUGCAGGCAGUGUGACCAGCAGGAUGCCCUGCAGCACCCUGAGGGACGGGAGGUGGCUGAGCAGCCGCACGAGGCGCGCUGCUGUUCCCCAAAGAGCUGUGGGAGCAUUUCUGCCGGACGCUUCACUCUGCAGAAGUAUGCAGCUUUGGACCGGGCUGAACUAUUCAUACAUUCUGGACUCGUGGCCAAGAGAGCAGAUUUUCAGAACUGCAGAAAUGUCUCACUUUGACAUUUCUUAAAUACAAUAUUUUGGCUUUGCCUUUGGAGACAAAGCGCGCAGAUCAGGUUAAGCUGCGCAGAACGUUUUCUUACAGAUAACUCUCUUCCCUAAAUAAACUUUUCCUUGGCUG
ensembl:lncRNA